UUACAGCUGAUGACUGUUAAAAACUCGUUUGUGUUUGAAGCCAAUGUUGAUUAGUGUUUCUGUGGAUUUAUGCUGCAGGUUGCUUGUGGUGGAUGUCACAUGGUAGUUUUUGCUGCUCCUCAUCGUAGUGUGGCAAAAGAAAUUGAAUUCGAUGAAAUAAGUGAUACUUGCUUAUCUGUGGUGACUUUUCUGCCGUAUGGCAGUUUAACCUCAGGAAAUGUACUGCAGAGAACUCUAUCAGCACGUAUGCGGCGAAGAGAGGGAGAGGUCUCCAGAUUCGGUUUCAGUGAUGAGAACACUACCUCCAAUAGCAGGGGCUCUUGGCCUUUCUGCUUGUUUUCCCCCCAGUUUGGUCUUUCCACGUUGUUCUGAGAGUAACCUAGAGAGCGUCUUAUCUGAACAGGACCUCAUGCACCCAGGGGAACCAGGUAACAUUUGCUACUCUGUCUGCUCUCAGGGUAAAUGUGCCUUUUACUCCUGUUGUUUUUAUGUUUAUCUUAAGAUGUUUUCUCCAGUUAUAUAAAUUGUUCUCUCCCUGGUUAGAGCCUAACAUCCCUCAUUUGAACUCAACUCCAGGAAUAUCCUUACAAAUAGAACGCAUCAUCAGUGCCCCAAGACUGCCAUGUAACCACAGCAGCAUAUCUUUAUAGAGCAGUGGGUAACAGUCAUACUACCUUCCUUAACUGUAUCCCCUUUAAACCCUGAAACCACUCGAUGAACUUAGGAGGGAGUUACAGUCCUCAUUUCAGAGAGGAGAAAAGCAAGACUUGAAGAGAUCAAGUGACUUGCUCAAGGUCACUCAGCUUAUAAAUGAAGUGGUCAGAAUUUGAAUGCAGGUCUUCUGGAUCUAUGUGAAAUUCUAUAUUUAGGCAGUAUAACGUAAUGGUUAAGAGCAUGGAAUAUGGAGUUAAAUUGAUCUGGGGUCAAAUGCCAGUUUUGACAUUUACUAGCUGUGUGACUGACUUUGGGAAAGUUACUUAACCUCUCUAAGCCUCAGUUUCCUUGUCUUUGAAAUUGAUUUAAUAAUACUGACUUCAGAGAGUGAUUGAGAGGAUUCAGUGAGUUCAGGCAUAUAAAAUAAUUAGCAUUGAGCCCAGCACCUCUAGAAACACCUCAGUAAAUGUUGUUAUGAUUAAUGUUAAUACCUUUACCUCACUACCUGUUAGAUACAGAUUUCAUGUUUUAAGUUGUAAUCCCAGCUCUUUCACUAUUCUAUACCUAUUCUAAGUAAUUUUCUUUACAGAUAUUUGUGUAUCUUAGGAGUGUCUGUAUGUUACUGCAGGAUGUCUAAAGAGGGAAUAUUCUCUCUUAAUUCAAUUUAGGGAUUCUCAUGUGUUUUAAAAUUAUUGUUCCAAUGACACAUAUAUUUUUUAAAGUAAAUGGCAAAUAAUUUUUGAAGGAGACAUUCCUUUUCUAAAAAUUACUGUAAGUUUCAAAACAUAUAAUUUUUUUGACGAUUCAUAGCAGUUUUAUUUGUAAUAGCCAACAUAUUUCUCUAUUUGAUAGGGGUAAGACAAGAAACCAGGACUAGGAGAUCAGAAAGUAAGCAGUAGAUUUGAAAUGAAGAAGAUAAACCUGUCAUCAGGGACUAAGAAUCAGGGUCUAGGAACAGAUAAUUUGUGUAUCUUUGAGAUCCGGAAGCUAGGCAAAGGGUUGAGGUAAUAUAGGAUUGGGAACUCAGGUAAGAACUGUGGGCUGUGGGAAUGGGAUAUUAUAUCUAACUAGGACCUUGGUAAUGAGCUGAUUUAUUGCACCUGACCCACAACUUUUGUAUGUUUUCUUUUGAAAUAAGAAUCAGUGUCUAAUGGUACUCUUCAGCCCUGGACAUGGAAAAAGUAGUAGAUUCUGACAAGCAGUAUGUAGUGUGUACAAGGAAAAAGACAUUUAUGGUUUAGAGAAAAUUGUUUCUCAGUCCCAGAGAUUUGAAUGUGAAAAUAUGCAUGAUUUUGUAGCUAGAUCAAAAGGAAAUGCCAUCUCUUCUUGUCUUCUUGUGACUGCUAACACUCUCUUCUUAAUAAAACUUAUUUUGAAAAUUGUGUCUAACAUAUACUGUGACAUUUUCUAAAUCAUUCACAGACUUCAGUCUUUAUAAUGGAGGAAAAGUAUAUCAGGAUACAUCUUACUAAGGAGGUGUCAUUUAAGCUAAAGGAUAAGAAAGGGAUGGCUACACAAGGAGAAUAGAUGUAUUUCAGGCAAAGAAAAUAAUAUAGGCAAAGGUUUGGAGGCAGUUAAGAAGAAAAAGACAACCAGUAGGGCUAGAAAGUGAGGGAAAGGGUAAGACAAAGCAGUAUUGGAGAAAGAGACAGUGAAAAAUUAUUUAUGGUUUUAUAGGCCAUGAGGACCUACUUGAUACGAAUGUUUUUCUUAAGUGCAAUAGAAAGUCAUUAAAAGAUUUUAAGCAGUAGACUAAUGUGUUCCAAUCCUAUUUCCACUUUAAGAUGAUUAUGAUCACUUCUACCUCCAUAUAGAUUAUGCAGAGGCCAGACUAGAAAUAGGAAGAGUACUUGUGAGCCCUUUGCAAGAGAUGAUAGUGUAUGGACCAAGGUGUUUGCAGCGUAGAUGGAGAAAAGAAAAGAGAAGAGGGACGAUGUGAAAUACAUUAUAGACAUAAAACCAACCGGACUUGCUAAACUUAUUAAUGCACCACACAUAGGUGUGAAUUAAAGUGAGGAAUCAAGGAUGAUUCCUAAGCAAGAGGAAGCUUGACACGUUUGAGGAAUAAAAUUAAGAACCAAGCCUUGGAUAUCUGUGAGGCAUCCAAGUAGAAAUAUCAAGCUGAUUGUUGAAACACAAGCCUAAAGUUUAGAAGAGAGCCCUGGACUAGAAAUAUAAAUUUGGAAGCCAUCAGCAUAGAGAUGGUAUUUAAAAGAGAUGGGCAUGGUAACUUAUGCCUAUAAUCCCAGUAUUUUGAGAGGCUGAGGUGGGAGGAUUGCUUGAAGUUAGGAGUUUGAGUCCAGCCUGGGCAACACAGCAAGACCCCUCUCUCUAUUUAAAAUAAUAAUAAAAUCCAUGGAUGUUGGUGAAAUCACCUGCUAGAGAGUCGAGUCAGAAGAGGGCCCAGAAUGUAGCCCUAAGAACAUCUAACAUUUGAGAGGUAGAGAAGGAAGAGCCGGCAAAGAAGCCUUCGUCAGCUUUGUCAGCCAGUAAGGCAGGAGGUGGGAAAUUAGGACAGUGUAGUGUCGUGAAUGCAAAGUACUGCUCAAAGAUCAAGGGAAGAUAGCUCAAAGAAGUAUCCAGUGGAUUUGGUAUA
ensembl:lincRNA